GUCACUGUGUGCAACUCUUGUUGAACAGCAGGAGCAGAGUUGUUGGAGUACCCAGAAAACCUGUGGUCCUGGGGAACGUGGUGCCCCGUCUGCUGAAAUGGCUGUGCCACAAUGGGACCUGUCACCUGGCUGCUGGGGUUGAAUGUGAGUGGCAGGAUUUGUCACUGACAUUUCAGCAGGGUCCGGCUCUCAGCACUCGAAGGCCUUUCAGCUGCUCUUGCCUUAAGGCGAGCGGCUCUGAAGAAUGGUUCAAGGUACAAGGACCAGACCCAGGUUAAAACCUCACCCAGAAGAUGAAGAUGUUGAUCCUGGAGUGAGGCAAAGUCCCUUGGGCUCCCCACAGUCUGUGGAGAAGAAGCAAGCCCAGAGGCUCCAGACCAGGGUGGACAACAGCCCAUAAUGAUUUUCCCUGCCUCCUACAGGAAAGAAAAUAUCAGUGGCCCUCAUGACCCCAUGAUAUCAGUGAAGAGGGGACAGAUAUUGCAGUGGAGAAGACAGGAUCUGCCCAUCGUGGUGGGAUUUCUGACUGCCUGCAGCCGUGGCCUAUCAGUUUGA
rnacentral:lncRNA from 1 species